GGGAAGGCCGUAGCUCAGCGGCAGACCAUCUGCUUCGUAUGCAGAAGGUCCCCGGUUCAAUCCCCAGCCUCUCCA